rnacentral:lncRNA from 1 species
GAAAUGCCUAUUUUAAGUAGGUAACAUAUUUUUUAGUUUUUUUCCCCUCCCUGGUACAAUGAUAAACAUGUUGCUGCAAUUUGUGAUUCUAGGGUGUUUAAGCAAUUUUUUUGAAUAUCGUCCAUCAAAUAAGAAGUUUGAUCCUUAAUAUCUGGCAGGCAAGAAACUAUGAAAUUGUGUGUGUAGGAGCUAGGGAGCUCAUUGUUAGUUCUUCAUUCUGUUGUCGCAGCUUCUACUGCUUUGCUGUGUUGUAGACUUUACCAUA